rnacentral:rRNA from 1 species
GAUUGAACGCUGGCGGCAUGCCUUACACAUGCAAGUCGAACGGCAGCACGGGAGCAAUCCUGGUGGCGAGUGGCGAACGGGUGAGUAAUACAUCGGAACGUGCCCAAUCGUGGGGGAUAACGCAGCGAAAGCUGUGCUAAUACCGCAUAAGAUCUACGGAUGAAAGCAGGGGAUCGCAAGACCUUGCGCGAAUGGAGCGGCCGAUGGCAGAUUAGGUAGUUGGUGAGGUAAAGGCUCACCAAGCCUUCGAUCUGUAGCUGGUCUGAGAGGACGACCAGCCACACUGGGACUGAGACACGGCCCAGACUCCUACGGGAGGCAGCAGUGGGGAAUUUUGGACAAUGGGCGAAAGCCUGAUCCAGCCAUGCCGCGUGCAGGAUGAAGGCCUUCGGGUUGUAAACUGCUUUUGUACGGAACGAAAAGUCUCUUUCUAAUACAGAGGG